rnacentral:rRNA from 1 species
CCACCCGUUCCCAUUCCGAACACGGCAGUUAAGCUCUUUCACGUCGAAAAUACUUGGUUGGCGACGACCUGGAAAUUUAGAUAAGUGCCGGCA